AGGCAUAUAGCUCAGCUGGUUAGAGCACCACCUUGACAUGGUGGGGGUCGUUGGUUCGAAUCCAAUUAUGCCUACCA
rnacentral:tRNA from 1 species